rnacentral:tRNA from 1 species
GGUGGGAUGCAGGAGUGGUUUAACUGGCGAUCCUGGAAAGAUCGUGUCGCCGCAAGGCGACCGUGGGUUCGAAUCCCACUCCCACCG